UACAGAGGUCUCAAGCGUUGUUCGGAUUCAUUGGGCGUAAAGGGCGCGUAGGCGGCAAUUCAAGUCAUCUGUGAAAUCUCCGGGCUUAACUCGGAACGGUCAGAUGAUACUGCUUUGCUAGAGUGCGGAAGGGGCAAUCGGAAUUCUCGGUGUAGCGGUGAAAUGCGUAGAUAUCAAGAGGAACACCUGCGGCGAAGGCGGGUUGCUGGGCCGACACUGACGCUGAGGCGCGAAAGCUAGGGGAGCGAACGGG
rnacentral:rRNA from 1 species